CAUCAUUUUAAAAUACAUAGGAAAAUGGAUAGUCACCGCAAAUAGCAAAUUCCAAGUCCCUCUAGGGGCUCUGCCUACAAUGAGAAUGUUUUGAGUUGUUUAUGUUCAAAAGCAGAGUCCCGAGAGUGAUAUACUGCUAUCAACUCGCUCUGUGCUGUGGCCUUUUAUUGUUGUUUAUAAUGGGCUGAAGAUAUUUUUUCCCCACUUACAUUUUAACUGUAGCUUUGAAGAGCUGUAAGAGAAGAAUUGAGCCUGAAAAUCAGGGUUGGAAGAUUAGGGGUUUUAGGUGGCCUGUUUUGCCUAGAAAACUAUUGGUAAUAUAUAUUAUUAGAAAUUUGCAUUUCCCACCUGAGUGCUACUGAAAAGCCGUAUGAAUCUAUUAGGUGCCGAAUUGCACAUCCUACUUUUCAAAUCGACGCAGCGUUUGCUCGCUAAAAAAAGAGGCUAAAUCCUGUUAUCCCAAGGCAUUAAGGAAAUAUGUCUCUAAUUGUAUUAUUAAAAGGUGUGUUAUUGCUACAAUAAAUCAUAAUGGCCUGCUUUUACACACUGUAUCCUGUAUCCUACAGAGUUGGGUGUGUGUGUUUCUAGUAUGGUAUUGAGAGGAAUGAUGACUGGCAAUGAAGCGUGAAUGGCAAAGAGGAAAGAGCAAAAUGCUUCUUAUGUGGCCUGAUAUGUAACAGCAUGUUAACAAAAUAGUAAUUUUGGAGAGCACAACUGGAAAUGGAAAAGAGUGGGUGAAGGAGAUAUCGGAUGAGUUAAUAAGGAGCUGGUGGGUGACAAUUAAACCCAAAGGAUUUAAUUUUUGCAGUUAGUUUGAAUCCAAAUUGGUGUGUGUGUGUUAAUGUAGGUGUAUAAUACAGAUAGAUUAGAUGAUAGAUAGAUAGAUAGAUAGAUAGAUAGAUAGAUAGAUGACAGACAGACAGAUAGAUAGAUAGAUAGAUAGAUGAUAGACAGAUAGAAACAGUGUCAGCUCACAUUAGCAAUAAUCCAUUGAUCCUAAAUUGAAUAUAUAUUAAGUAGUCCAUAUCUUCCGAUAGAUAUUGAGAUUGUUGAUUAUGAGCUAUAUGUUCAAAUGUAGAGAAGGACAGGAAGAUGUUCAGACCACUGAGCAAUGGAUGGUAGGUUUUUAUCCUUCCAUCCUUGGAGUAGACAUCCCUUUGCAACCAUAAGGGCUUGUAGGAUCCACUUUUGUUACCCAUCUGUUAGUCCCCACAUCACAGGGAUGGGUUGGAUCCUAAAUGAGAUAUCUUUCUGGUGAGUAAGAACAGUUGACAAGUAAGAUGUUUUAAUUUUAAAAAACAGAAUAGAUUGGUGAGAAAAGGGUUGUGUGGGGAAACACAAGGUUAUUGCGUGCAUGGCAACAUCUGUUUUAUAAGAAUUCACCGGAAAAAAUGAAAGGCAAUAAAGUGGAGAUGAGAGUUGUAAAGAUCAUGAUGGGUUACAGUACAUUUCAGCUUAAAAUGAUAUACAGGUAUGCCUGGAGUCCAUUGAGAUAUUAAGUCUGUAUUGAGUUGGUCAGGUGGAAAAUGUGGCGUCUUCCUUGGCUGUGCUCUGAAAAACCAUUCAUCUGGAAAUGCAGAGAACAAGCAGGAAAAACACCAGCAUGGGAUGUGAUGUUCGUUUGUUUUGAUAACAUAUUUCCAGGACAUCCUCUGCCAGUGUAGUUGCAAGGAAGCAGAGGAUUUGAUGGAAACACAGAAGGGGCAAGGGCAAAUUUGUGUGCCAUGUUGGGGUUGCCGGGAGGUCUCAGGGGCCUCAUGUUCCCAUAAGCUAUGUGGCACGUAAGAUGGCAACUAAAGAGCCUCGUGUCACUGAUACACCAAAGUAUGUGCAAGAGAUCACAGAGGUUGCUGUGACAUAGAGACUGGCACAGAUGUAAAACAGCCCAGUCUAGCUACCAGUGGUUGAUCAGGUUA